GCCAGACUCCUACGGGAGGCAGCAGUGGGGGAUAUUGCACAAUGGGGGGAACCCUGAUGCAGCGACGCCGCGUGGGUGAAGGAGCGUUUCGGCGCGUAAAGCCCUCUCGGCAGGGAAGAAGGAGGACGGUACCUGACUAAGAAGCCCCGGCUAACUACGUGCCAGCAGCCGCGGUAAUACGUAGGGGGCAAGCGUUAUCCGGAUUUACUGGGUGUAAAGGGGGCGCAGACGGCGAUGCAAGCCAGGAGUGAAAGCCCGGGGCCCAACCCCGGGACUGCUCUUGGAACUGCGUGGCUAGAGUGCAGGAGGGGCAGGCGGAAUUCCUGGUGUAGCGGUGAAAUGCGUAGAUAUCAGGAGGAACACCGGCGGCGAAGGCGGCUUACUGGACGGCAACUGACGUUGAGGCCCGAAAGCGUGGGGAGCGAACAGGAUUAGAUACCCCCGUA
rnacentral:rRNA from 1 species